CAAAACCUCUCAGCCUCAGUGCUCACUGAAAAUGUGUCAAGAAGAGCCCCUAACUGGGCCCUAUGACUGGAGCUGAAGGGGCAGACUUAAAGAACAGUCUCUUUGAGAUGCAGACACUUUUGGAUUCCAUCCUGUUAGACAAGCUGCACACAACAGAAUGACCAAGGGCGAGACCGAGAGACCAGGGAAACCGCUCAGGUCUGAGAGGCUGCAUCAUGACAAGUCUCUCUCCUUGAUGGCUCGCUGGUGCAGCUCUGCUAGGUGGAGGAUCAGUGGCAAAACUGUGGACCUCGGUUGUGAGUAAACCCCUAGAAAUUCUGCUCAACAAUGGCUUGCUGACUUUACAAAAAAAAAAAAAAAAAAAAAAAAAAAGCAUACAUCGCUUCCUGGAAUUCAUCCGCAUCACAAGGCUGACAGAAGAGCAAAUUAAGUGUUAUCUUCUCCGGAGUCCUUGAUGAAGAACACCCUGGUCUUGGCAACUGGUAUGGUCUGAAUUGCAAGGACACACAUCAGUUGCACAGCUGGAGCAAACAGCUGGGAAGCCUGUCUGGGGAGACAUCUGCCU
rnacentral:lncRNA from 1 species